GAGUGGCGAACGGGUGAGUAACACGUGGGUAAUCUGCCCUGCACUUCGGGAUAAGCCUGGGAAACUGGGUCUAAUACCGGAUAUGAGCUCUCACCGCAUGGUGGGGGUUGGAAAGUUUUUCGGUGCAGGAUGAGCCCGCGGCCUAUCAGCUUGUUGGUGGGGUAAUGGCCUACCAAGGCGACGACGGGUAGCCGGCCUGAGAGGGUGAUCGGCCACACUGGGACUGAGACACGGCCCAGACUCCUACGGGAGGCAGCAGUGGGGAAUAUUGCACAAUGGGCGGAAGCCUGAUGCAGCGACGCCGCGUGGGGGAUGACGGUCUUCGGAUUGUAAACCCCUUUCAGUAGGGACGAAGCGCAAGUGACGGUACCUGCAGAAGAAGCACCGGCCAACUACGUGCCAGCAGCCGCGGUAAUACGUAGGGUGCGAGCGUUGUCCGGAAUUACUGGGCGUAAAGAGCUCGUAGGCGGUUUGUCGCGUCGUCUGUGAAAUCCUCCAGCUUAACUGGGGGCGUGCAGGCGAUACGGGCAGACUUGAGUACUACAGGGGAGACUGGAAUUCCUGGUGUAGCGGUGAAAUGCGCAGAUAUCAGGAGGAACACCGGUGGCGAAGGCGGGUCUCUGGGUAGUAACUGACGCUGAGGAGCGAAAGCAUGGGUAGCGAACAGGAUUAGAUACCCUGGUAGUCCAUGCCGUAAACGGUGGGCGCUAGGUGUGGGGGUCUUCCACGACUUCCGUGCCGCAGCUAACGCAUUAAGCG
rnacentral:rRNA from 1 species